UGGGACUGAGACACGGCCCAGACUCCUACGGGAGGCAGCAGUGGGGAAUAUUGCACAAUGGGGGAAACCCUGAUGCAGCGACGCCGCGUGGAGGAAGAAGGUCUUCGGAUUGUAAACUCCUGUUGUUGAGGAAGAUAAUGACGGUACUCAACAAGGAAGUGACGGCUAACUACGUGCCAGCAGCCGCGGUAAAACGUAGGUCACAAGCGUUGUCCGGAAUUACUGGGUGUAAAGGGAGCGCAGGCGGGAGAACAAGUUGGAAGUGAAAUCCAUGGGCUCAACCCAUGAACUGCUUUCAAAACUGUUUUUCUUGAGUAGUGCAGAGGUAGGCGGAAUUCCCGGUGUAGCGGUGGAAUGCGUAGAUAUCGGGAGGAACACCAGUGGCGAAGGCGGCCUACUGGGCACCAACUGACGCUGAGGCUCGAAAGUGUGGGUAGCAAACAGGAUUAGAUACCCUGGUAGUCCACACCGUAAACGAUGAUUACUAGGUGUUGGAGGAUUGACCCCUUCAGUGCCGCAGUUAACACAAUAAGUAAUCCACCUGGGGAGUACGACCGCAAGGUUGAAACUCAAAGGAAUUGACGGGGGCCCGCACAAGCAGUGGAGUAUGUGGUUUAAUUCGACGCAACGCGAAGAACCUUACCAAGUCUUGACAUCCUGCGACGCACAUAGAAAUAUGUGUUUCCUUCGGGACGCAGAGACAGGUGGUGCAUGGUUGUCGUCAGCUCGUGUCGUGAGAUGUUGGGUUAAGUCC
rnacentral:rRNA from 1 species